UACGCAGGGUGCAAGCGUUUGUCCGGAAUUAUUGGGCGUAAAGAGCUCGUAGGCGGUCUGUCGCGUCUGCUGUGAAAACUCAGGGCUUAACCCUGAGCUUGCAGUGGGUACGGGCAGACUAGAGUGCGGUAGGGGGAGACUGGAAUUCCUGGUGUAGCGGUGAAAUGCGCAGAUAUCAGGAGGAACACCGGUGGCGAAGGCGGGUCUCUGGGCCGUAACUGACGCUGGAGGAGCGAAAGCAUUGGGGAGCGAACAGG
rnacentral:rRNA from 1 species